GCUACGGGGUAACUUGAAGGUGGGCACCAGCAGAAGAUCAAGGUCACAAGAACGCCAGCCUUGUGACAAGAUGAAGCUACAGUAGGAUGUUUCUUAUCUCCUUUUCUUACCUCCGCAGACUUUGCAGAUCCUGGGUUCCACUUAAAUUCACAGUGAUGUGGGGUUAAAGAGUUUGGAGACCAUUGACAUCACACAAGGCCAGCAGAAGCAUAGGAAGACCACCACCCAC